GAAACUUUCUGGACAGACCUCAUUUACUAGAAUUGGAGCAAAACAGAGAAAAGUGGCACGACCCCUCCACAAGGAUGGCACACAGGUUCAUAAAGCAUUCCAUAUGAGA